rnacentral:rRNA from 1 species
AGUCGAGCGAUGAAAUUUUGACAGAUCCCUUCGGGGAGAAGAUAAAAUGGAUUAGCGGCGGACGGGUGAGUAACACGUGAGUAACCUGCCUUAGACAUUGGGAUAGCCUCGGGAAACCGGGAUUAAUACCGAAUAAAAUCACAGAUACACAUGUAUCCAUGAUCAAAACUCCGGUGGUCUAAGAUGGACUCGCGUCCCAUUAGCUAGUUGGUGAGGUAACGGCCCACCAAGGCGACGAUGGGUAGCCGGCCUGAGAGGGUGAACGGCCACAUUGGAACUGAGAAACGGUCCAAACUCCUACGGGAGGCAGCAGUGGGGAAUAUUGCACAAUGGAGGGAACUCUGAUGCAGCGACGCCGCGUGAACGAAGAAGGCUUUCGAGUCGUAAAGUUCUUUUAUAUGGGAAGAUAAUGACGGUACCAUAAGAAAAAGCCCCGGCUAACUACGUGCCAGCAGCCGCGGUAAUACGUAGGGGGCUAGCGUUGUCCGGAAUCACUGGGCGUAAAGGGUUCGCAGGCGGAAAUGCAAGUCAGAUGUAAAAGGCAGUAGCUUAACUACUGUAAGCAUUUGAAACUGCAUAUCUUGAGAAGAGUAGAGGUAAGUGGAAUUUUUAGUGUAGCGGUGAAAUGCGUAGAUAUUAAAAAGAAUACCGGUGGCGAAGGCGACUUACUGGGCUCAUUCUGACGCUGAGGAACGAAAGCGUGGG